rnacentral:rRNA from 1 species
GACGGAAGGUGCAAGCGUUGCUCGGAAUCACUGGGCGUAAAGGGUGCGUAGGCGGCUUGGUGGGUCUGGUGUGAAAGCCCCGGGCUCAGCCCGGGAAGGGCACUAGAAACUGCCGAGCUGGAGUGCCGGAGGGGAGAGUGGAAUUCCUGGUGUAGCGGUGAAAUGCGCAGAUAUCAGGAGGAACACCGGUGGCGAAGGCGGGUUUCUGGGCCGAUACUGACGCUGAGGAGCGAAAGCGUGGGGAGCGAACAGG